CGUGACUCAAGGUUAACAACAUCAGGAAGCUUUGAACUUGCCAUUGAAGAACAAGGGAGCGUACCUGAGAACACAAUAAGGUGAAAAACGCAAAAGGAGUCGCAGGAAGCCAGAGAGCAGAAGAGAGCUAAUUUCUUCGGAAGACAGAAGGAAUUCGAAAUGAAAGGCAAUGAUGAGACGGAAUGUUGAUCUGAACAGUUUUGUCUUGGAGCGGCGCGAUCAUUAAUUGCUCUCGAAGUUUACCCCCUCAACGGUUAAGUAAUAACCGGAUAGAAGGUAAAGGGGCAAAAGGAUGAUCGCUGGGCUUGUCUACAUCUAUCAAGGGCCAGGUCCAUAAUGAUAGCCCAUCACUUAAAGGCCCAGGCAAGCCCAACUUGUUCAGACCUGAUCUCCAGCCAAGACAACGUAACCCACAAGAUUCAUCACUUCACCACAUCCAUGGCAAGUAUCAAGGAAAUGGAAAGAAAAACUCAAAGAUGCAAGCAGAUGAAAGCAUGAUAAAGGUUAGACCUACUCAUCACAUAGAAUAUAUAAGAUUUGACUUGUUAAAACAAGGGUACCUCGGAUCUAUACUGAGCUGAGAGCUUAGAGUUCGACUUAUCAGAAGCCGAGCUCAUAGGUCGGAAUAGUCCAGCUCGGACAACAUGACCUGAGAGCCCGGCCAGAUAACCCAG
rnacentral:lncRNA from 1 species